CAUAACCCUAUUGAGUGUUUUUUAACUAAAUUAACAUGGCUCGAAUGAACCGCUCAGCUCCUGUGGAAGUCACAUACAAGAACAUAAGAUUUCUUAUUACACACAAUCCAACCAGUGUGACCUUAAACAAAUUUAUAGAGGAACUUAAGAAGUAUGGAGUUACCACAACAAUAAGAGUAUGUGAAGCAACUUAUGACGCUACUCUUGUGGAGAAAGAAGGUAUCCAUGUUCUUGAUUGGCCUUUUGAUGAUGGUGCACCACCAUCCAACCAGCUUGUUGAUGACUGGUUAAGCCUUGUAAAAAUUAAGUUUCGUGAAGAACCUGGUUGUUGUAUUGCUGUUCACUGCGUGGCAGGCCUUGGGAGAGCUCCAGUACUUGUUGCCCUAGCAUUAAUUAAAGGUGGAAUGAAAUAUGAAGAUGCAGUACAAUUCAUAAGACAAAAGCAGCAUGGAGCUUUUAACAGCAAGCAACUUUUGUAUUUGGAGAAGUAUCGUCCUAAAAUGUGGCUGCGUUUCAAAGAUUCCAAUGGUCAUAGAAACAACUGUUGCAUUCAAUAAA